UACGGAGGGAGCUAGCGUUGUUCGGAAUUACUGGGCGUAAAGGGCUCGUAGGCGGCCGGCUAAGUCCGACGUGAAAUCCCCAGGCUUAACCUGGGAACUGCGUCGGAUACUGGCGGGCUUGAAUCCGGGAGAGGGAUGCGGAAUUCCAGGUGUAGCGGUGAAAUGCGUAGAUAUCUGGAGGAACACCGGUGGCGAAGGCGGCAUCCUGGACCGGCAUUGACGCUGAAUAGCGAAAGCCAGGGGAGCAAACGGG
rnacentral:rRNA from 1 species